rnacentral:rRNA from 1 species
CGGACGGGUGAGUAACGCGUAGGCAACCUGCCCCGAACAGAGGGAUAGCCAUUGGAAACGAUGAUUAAAACCUCAUAAUACCGAAAGGACACCUGUCCUUACGGUCAAAGAUUUAUCGGUUCGGGAUGGGCCUGCGUCUGAUUAGUUAGUUGGUGAGGUAACGGCUCACCAAGGCGACGAUCAGUAGCCGACCUGAGAGGGUGAUCGGCCACAUUGGAACUGAGACACGGUCCAAACUUC